rnacentral:rRNA from 1 species
GACGAACGCUGGCGGCGUGCUUAACACAUGCAAGUCGAACGGAAAGGCCCUGCUUUUGUGGGGUGCUCGAGUGGCGAACGGGUGAGUAACACGUGAGUAACCUGCCCUUGACUUUGGGAUAACUUCAGGAAACUGGGGCUAAUACCGGAUAGGAGCUCCUGCUGCAUGGUGGGGGUUGGAAAGUUUCGGCGGUUGGGGAUGGACUCGCGGCUUAUCAGCUUGUUGGUGGGGUAGUGGCUUACCAAGGCUUUGACGGGUAGCCGGCCUGAGAGGGUGACCGGCCACAUUGGGACUGAGAUACGGCCCAGACUCCUACGGGAGGCAGCAGUGGGGAAUAUUGCACAAUGGGCGGAAGCCUGAUGCAGCAACGCCGCGUGCGGGAUGACGGCCUUCGGGUUGUAAACCGCUUUCGCCUGUGACGAAGCGUGAGUGACGGUAAUGGGUAAAGAAGCACCGGCUAACUACGUGCCAGCAGCCGCGGUGAUACGUAGGGUGCGAGCGUUGUCCGGAUUUAUUGGGCGUAAAGGGCUCGUAGGUGGUUGAUCGCGUCGGAAGUGUAAUCUUGGGGCUUAACCCUGAGCGUGCUUUCGAUACGGGUUGACUUGAGGAAGGUAGGGGAGAAUGGAAUUCCUGGUGGAGCGGUGGAAUGCGCAGAUAUCAGGAGGAACACCAGUGGCGAAGGCGGUUCUCUGGGCCUUUCCUGACGCUGAGGAGCGAAAGCGUGGGGAGCGAACAGGCUUAGAUACCCUGGUAGUCCACGCUGUAAACGGUGGGUACUAGGUGUGGGGUCCAUUCCACGGGUUCCGUGCCGUAGCUAACGCUUUAAGUACCCCGCCUGGGGAGUACGGCCGCAAGGCUAAAACUCAAAGGAAUUGACGGGGCCCCGCACAAGCGGCGGAGCAUGCGGAUUAAUUCGAUGCAACGCGUAGAACCUUACCUGGGUUUGACAUGGAUCGGGAGUGCUCAGAGAUGGGUGUGCCUCUUUUGGGGUCGGUUCACAGGUGGUGCAUGCCUGUCGUCAGCUCGUGUCGUGAGAUGUUGGGUUAAGUCCCGCAACGAGCGCAACCCUUGUUCACUGUUGCCAGCACGUUAUGGUGGGGACUCAGUGGAGACCGCCGGGGUCAACUCGGAGGAAGGUGGGGAUGACGUCAAGUCCUCAUGCCCCUUAUGUCCAGGGCUUCACGCAUGCUACAAUGGCUGGUACAGAGAGUGGCGAGCCUGUGAGGGUGAGCGAAUCUCGGAAAGCCGGUCUCAGUUCGGAUUGGGGUCCGCAACUCGACCUCAUGAAGUCGGAGUCGCUAGUAAUCGCAGAUCAGCAACGCUGCGGUGAAUACGUUCCCGGG